AUAGCAUUAACAGAGGAAGAUAAUUUAGCUUUUAUUUCACUGGGCAUACAAAGCAUGUGACUUCAUGCAAAAUAAAUUGUGUUAAGUUCAAGUGAGAAUUGAGGGUAAAGGUUUUGGCUCCUUUUGGCUUUUGUGAUUAGAUUCAAAAUAAUAAUUGGUGGGAAGAGGGGAAUCAAAGGCUCUUUCGGCCAAAUUCUGCUAGUUAUUCUUAAUAUCUGAAUUUUCUGCAGGCAGAGUUGAUUUUAAAAUCCUUCAAUAUACCUGUUUUGCUGUCUGUAGUCUUAACAAGAAGUUCUGCCUUUUGUAAUUUUUAAUUUUGUUUUCUAAAUAUUAAAUUCCUUCCUUGCUCAGGAAGUUCAUUUAAGAGGGACAAUAGUCUAUUACUUCACUGAUACUUGUUAAGUAAGUGAUAUAUAUUUAAUGUGUUGGGCAUCUGGAACUCUGAGGAGAGUGGAUUUUAUUCUUUUCCCAUUACUGUAGGAAGUAGAACAUUUACUCACCUACCCUACCUAGCCCAUGUGACAUCUAUAGGUCAAAGGGUGGAGGAUUACAUGGUAGUGAUGAGACCAAUUUUCUGACACAUGGAUUGCGUCUUUCAUAGAGAGAAAUGAUCACUGUUUAAGGGUAGGAUAGUAUAACAGUUAUGAGAAAUAGUGUAAAGGUAAAUAUUUAAAAAACAAGCCCUGGUCAGGGAGGAGGUGCUACGAAUUUUCAUGAUGUAACUAUUUCCCUCACAACCACCUUCAAGUUACAAACAUGACAUCAUUGAACAUGGACUUGGAAAAAGAUGUGCAGUCGCCACCAUUACAUAGGGUUUUGCCGUGCAGAUACAGAAAGACAUACAUAAACUCAAGAGCACUGAUAAUAGUCAAGUACAGUUAAAUAAUGAGGAAGUAAUAUGUUUUGACUACUUAUCACCUUUGUUUUCAAAUAAUUCAUUUAAUUGUAAAUUAACAUAAUUUGAUUUUUACUAAUGGCUAUGUUUAACAACUAAUUCAAAUAAGCCCUAAGAGCUUAAUAAUUGGCUUUUGUGAGCUAGCACCAGGUGUCUUCCAUACAUCAUUGGGUAAGAAUAGAAGAUUUAAAGUCAGAUAGUUUUGAAUUUGAUUCCUUGCUCUGCCACUUACAAGCUGUGUGGCCAUGUGAAAUUUGUAUUUCUUCCUUAAGUCUUAGUUUCCACAAAUGAAACGCUUAAGAGUAAAAAUUAUAACUACUUUGAAUAGUUGUGAGAAUUAAAUAAAAUUAUAGCUCCUCCUCUCUUGGAAAGUAAGGGCUCCAUGGCUAAAAAUUUCACAAAAUCCAGAACUGUAAUCACAAAGCAUUUUUUUUUUCUUUUUUAAGAGAGAAAGCUAUUAAGAGGAGUAUGCUCAGCUCCACCUAAUGAUGUAAUUUGCAUAAUUCAAUGGAAGAUAGGCAGACUUCUUUAAGGAUUCAGACUGUACUGUCACUGAGAAUGAACAUUUUUCCUUGGGUUAUGUGUAGCUUUGUUCCAACAGACAUUCCUUCUCCACUAAGCGGUAAGAUUGCAAAGAAGAUCCUACUUCUUAGAGAGUUCACACAUGCACUGCAGUGUUUCGUGAGACCUGUAGACUAAAGCUUCUUUUUUGAUUUCUCCUUUACAGAUUCUGUACAGGAGAAGGAAGAUUUCUCCUUUACCAGAUGGUAGAAGUGGGUGGAGAGUUAAUAGGUGAACCUGGAAAAGGAAGGGGGUGAUUUAAGAGACAGGCAUAAAUCUGAGGGUAGGGAACAAGACUAAAAACUAAAACAAAGGUUAGCAGCAGCUUUAUAUUGAUGAAGUCCCUGAGGUUCAGAAACAACUGAAUGCCUAUAGCCUCCUAGAAAGUGUAUAGGUGCUGGGGUUGAGCGCCUUGGUUCUGGAAUUAGAGAAGCUGGGUUUAAGUGCUACACCUUCCACUUAUUGACUGACAUUAGUUCCCUACAAAGAAUAGCCUGCUCCAGUGCUGGCCUGAGAUUUGGACCACAACAAAUGCUCAGCGUGGCAAGAGACAGAGAAGAAGGGCAGAAGUAGAGGGAAAGAGAGAAUCUUAAGCACACUGCACAUCCAGCACAGAACUCGAUGCAGGGCUCUGUAAGGGGCUCCAUGAGAUCAUGACCUGAGCUGAAAUCAAGAGUCCUAUGCUUUUUCGACUGAGCCACCCAGGCACCCCAACAGAGCUUCUAGAGUCAGCAAGAGAUCCUCAAAUUAAGAUGGAGUUCCAAGGCAAAGAUUAAAUGUGUAUCACCUGGUAACAUAGGCUAAGCUGAGGAAGCCAAGUCAAACCUAUGUGAAGACCCUUCUAGAAAGCAUAAACUUGUAGUCUCAUGGAAGCCUGAUGGGCCCAAAGAAUCUGAUUACAUAAAGAGGCAGGUCUAAAAAGGAGUCAUGAGUGCGGCUUUGACCAGUGGAGUUGACUCGCUUCAAAUUUAUAGAUAAUCCAUAAAGUUCUGAAGAAAGAACCAGUCUGAACUAAAAGAAACAGAGGCUGUUGGGGAUUUGAAAAGGACUUUAGGCCUUCAAAUUUCUACAAUCAAGAAGUAGGCUGCAAAGACGGCCCAGCAAUCAAAAGAGAACAUAUUUUCCCAAGGCUUCAUCAGGAGUGGACAAUGAGGAUGAUGGAUAGUGGUGUAGCUCAUAGCAGAUGCAACCAAAGUCUGGGUAAUAAACAACUAGAGAUGCACUUCUGAAGCAUCGGGUGGAUCAACAGAUACUCCCUGUCCCAAAGUAUGGUGGGUUGGCAGUUUGAUCAACAGAUAUUCCCUGUCCCAAAGUAUGGUGGGUUGGCAGCAUUUGAUCAGUUGGAUUUUCAGAAUUGCUAUUGGAGCAACGGCUUCUGUGUGAUUAGCCUGUUCUACCAUUUGUAUACUGGGUACACUGGGUGGGACAGAGGGGAGGAGGUUCAGGGUUACUUUUUUUUUUUUUUCCUAAUUGACCUACUGUACUCUUUUAUUUUCUUUAUUUUUUUAAUUUUUAUUUUUGAGAGAGACAGAGAGCACAAGUA